AGAGUUUUGAUCCUGGCUCAGGACGAACGCUGGCGGCGUGCCUAAUACAUGCAAGUAGAACGCUGAGGACUGGUGCUUGCACUGGUCUAAGGAGUUGCGAACGGGUGAGUAACGCGUAGGUAACCUACCUCAUAGCGGGGGAUAACUAUUGGAAACGAUAGCUAAUACCGCAUGACAAUAGGGUACACAUGUACCCUAUUUAAAAGGGGCAAAUGCUUCACUAUGAGAUGGACCUGCGUUGUAUUAGCUAGUUGGUAAGGUAACGGCUUACCAAGGCGACGAUACAUAGCCGACCUGAGAGGGUGAUCGGCCACACUGGGACUGAGACACGGCCCAGACUCCUACGGGAGGCAGCAGUAGGGAAUCUUCGGCAAUGGGGGGAACCCUGACCGAGCAACGCCGCGUGAGUGAAGAAGGUUUUCGGAUCGUAAAGCUCUGUUGUUAGAGAAGAACGGUAAUGGGAGUGGAAAAUCCAUUACGUGACGGUAAC
rnacentral:rRNA from 1 species